rnacentral:rRNA from 1 species
AACGAACGCUGGCGGCAGGCUUAACACAUGCAAGUCGAGCGCCCCGCAAGGGGAGCGGCAGACGGGUGAGUAACGCGUGGGAACGUACCCUUUGCUACGGAAUAGCUCCGGGAAACUGGGAUUAAUACCGUAUGUGCCCUACGGGGGUAAGAAUUAUCGGCAAAGGAUCGGCCCGCGUUGGAUUAGCCAGUUGGUGGGGUAAUGGCCUACCAAGGCGACGUUCCAUAGCUGGUCUGAGAGGAUGAUCAGCCACAUUGGGCCUGAGACACGGGCCAGACUCCUACGGGAGGCAGCAGUGGGGAAUAUUGGACAAUGGGCGCAAGCCUGAUCCAGCCAUGCCGCGUGAGUGAUGAAGGCCUUAGGGUUGUAAAGCUCUUUCACCGGAGAAGAUAAUGACGGUAUCCGGAGAAGAAGCCCCGGCUAACUUCGUGCCAGCAGCCGCGGUAAGAC